rnacentral:rRNA from 1 species
UACGGGGGGGGCAAGCGUUGUUCGGAAUUACUGGGCGUAAAGGGCUUGUAGGCGGCCAACUAAGUCGGAUGUGAAAUCCCCAGGCUUAACCUGGGAACUGCAUCCGAUACUGGAUGGCUUGAAUUCGGGAGAGGGAUGCAGAAUUCCAGGUGUAGCGGUGAAAUGCGUAGAUAUCUGGAGGAAUACCGGUGGCGAAGGCGGCAUCCUGGACCGAGAUUGACGCUGAUGAGCGAAAGCUAGGGGAGCAAACGGG